CUGGACUCCAUCUCACCCACCCGCCCGCACCGCUCACCAGACGAGGUAAUUUAUUCACUACCAACUGUUUUUUUACGAUGGGAGCAGACCCCACUCUCCGCAGUUUCUGAUGCUAUUUGGGAACGGAAGCGGCGAGCGGUUCGGAGCUGAGCGACUAGGUUUCCGCGGUGAGCCGACGGCAGCUGCCGGUGGAUUCGGGUCUGCGCGACGCUGGGAGUGGCCCUGUUGGCUGGGUGCAGCGUCCAGGCGAGCAGCGUUUUCCUCGUCGGCCGACGGCCAUGCCACGACCAGCCUCCACCCUCCGCUCCCUUCGUCGCGCUGGCGAUGGCCCGGCCUGCCUGCCAUUCCCCGCCCCCGAGCCCUGCCAUAUCCUACCGUUGUCCCAUCGGGGCCGGAAUCCCUCCCACUUCCUUUUUCCUUUUUGUUCCGCAUAACAACAGGGAGUCUCUGUAUGUAGCAACGACAGCGGCCCCCUUCCUAGAACCUUUGAAAGCAGACUUCGCGUAAGAUGCCCUUACUUCUUUAACGAGCUAGACGAGGCUCCAUGGCCUUCGUGUCCUAGCUGCUACCCUCCGGACAGGUUUCUCUCUUUUCCUGUUUCCUUCUCCCCCUCUGUAUGUGUGUGCAUGAGUGCGUCUGUAUUCUUCUGAUUAGUCAAGUACUGAUGGUUAGAUUAAUUGGCAUGUUAUGCAGGACGAGUAUUUUGCAGGAAGCCCCAUUAGUAGGUUUAUAUUAUUGUUUGGCUUUGGCUUCUGUAUAUGUUUAUUCCCAAUUAGGAAUCAGCUACUGUACUACAGUAGCAUGUCUCCCAUUCUGAAUCUCCAAUGUAUUUUAGAAAUCCUAUAUUAAUCAUUUAAUUUAUGACAUAAUUGGAGAAUCCUCAAACAAAACUUGUUGAUUUGAUGGUUGCAAACCUUAAUGUUUCCAUUUUUCAAAUGCCAUGUAAUGUUUCUCAUAGGCUAGACAUAUACAUGUUGGCUUAAAUCUGCAUUUAUGCUUGGCUGUCUAUCUAAAUCCAAUUUCUUCCUUUAUUUUUGUUGGUUUGAUGAUGCAUUUCUCUCAGAGCUUAGUUAUACUGUUGUUAGCUGAAUUUAAUCGUAGAAUGAUCUUUCCAUGUCAUGUAAAAAUAUCAACCUUCUCUUCUUUAUGUUAUGAUGAUUUUAGAAUGUUAUAGGUAUACUGUUGUUAACUGAAUAUAAUUAUGGACUGAUCUGAUUUCCAUGCCAUGAGCAAGUAUUGAUUUAUUCUUUCAUGGGAAGUAUCUGCUCCAUGCUCCAGUUUGGUCACAUUUAGUAAGAAAUUCAGUUAUUUGAAUUUGAAUAGAUUGCCCAUAUGCAGAGGUUAAAGCAUUGUAUUUUUUAUUUUGAUCUCAGCCCCAUAUUUACUUUUUUAGGGCAUAGCUGUCCUACAAGCUAAAUACUCGUUUCGAGCUGAGAUUAUGUGUCGCCACCUUCCCCUCUCCAUAAACGAUUGCCAGUGACACCUGCAUCAACGACUGCUUGGUUCUCUCCUGAGAAGACAAGUGUGCAAAAAUCUUCCUACGAAAUCUUGCUGUGGUUAAGCUGGCAAUUUCCAUCACAAUCUGGGCAAAAGACAUUCUGGCAGCCAUUCUUCUACUUGCUGCACUGCAUUUUUAUGUAUUUUCAUUCCACAUGAGCACGUUCAUGUGUUUUCAUUUUUUUUUUGAAGCUAUGGCCAUUCAUAUCUUGUAUUCUGCUGAAAUAAUGAAUGUAAAUAUUGUUUACUAUAAUUUUGUGCCAAAAUUAUUUGAAUUUUCUGGUUGUCACCAAACCUGUGUGAACAAUUGGUGUUGAUGUUCC
rnacentral:rRNA from 1 species